rnacentral:rRNA from 1 species
UCGUGGAGUGAUCUGUCUGCUUAAUUGCGUUUUAGAUAUAUAAAGGUAAGUUUAUAUUGUGAGGUAUAUUGUCUUUACUUCGGUAGGGCUAUACUGAGCAACGAACGUGACCUCAGCUCAAUGUUAUCUCUACUUUUAAAAGAGACCAACUUUGAGGACCGACAGAGUUGUCAACUCGGAGGAAGGUUGAGGCAAUAACA